GAUGAACGCUAGCGACAGGCCUAACACAUGCAAGUCGAGGGGCAGCAUUAUUAAAGCUUGCUUUAAUAGAUGGCGACCGGCGCACGGGUGCGUAACGCGUAUGCAACCUACCCAUUACAAGGGGAUAGCCCAGAGAAAUUUGGAUUAAUACUCUAUAGUAUUUACUCUAAGCAUUUAGAGUUUUUUAAAGGAUUCGUUCUGGUAAUGGAUGGGCAUGCGUAUGAUUAGCUAGUUGGUAGGGUAACGGCCUACCAAGGCAAUGAUCAUUAGGGGUUCUGAGAGGAUAGUCCCCCACACUGGUACUGAGACACGGACCAGACUCCUACGGGAGGCAGCAGUGAGGAAUAUUGGUCAAUGGACGCAAGUCUGAACCAGCCAAGUCGCGUGCAGGAUGACUGCCCUAUGGGUUGUAAACUGCUUUUAUAUAGGAAUAAUGUUAGUUACGCGUAACUAUUUGAAUGUACUAUAUGAAUAAGCACCGGCUAACUCCGUGCCAGCAGCCGCGGUAAUACGGAGGGUGCAAGCGUUAUCCGGAUUUAUUGGGUUUAAAGGGUGCGUAGGCGGGUUCAUAAGUCAGUGGUGAAAGUCUGUCGCUUAACGAUAGAAUUGCCAUUGAAACUGUGGAUCUUGAAUACAGUAGAGGUAGGCGGAAUAUAUUGUGUAGCGGUGAAAUGCAUAGAUACGAUAUAGAACACCGAUUGCGAAGGCAGCUUACUAUGCUGAGAUUGACGCUGAUGCACGAAAGCGUGGGUAGCGAACAGG
rnacentral:rRNA from 1 species